rnacentral:rRNA from 1 species
UACAGAGGUCUCAAGCGUUGUUCGGAUUCAUUGGGCGUAAAGGGUGUGUAGGUGGCGCCGUAAGUGGGGUGUGAAAUUUCGGAGCUUAACUCCGAAACUGCAUUCCAUACUGCGGUGCUUGAGGACUGGAGAGGAGACUGGAAUUUACGGUGUAGCAGUGAAAUGCGUAGAUAUCGUAAGGAAGACCAGUGGCGAAGGCGGGUCUCUGGACAGUUCCUGACACUGAGACACGAAGGCCAGGGGAGCAAACGGG